AUUGAACGCUGGCGGUAUGCUUAACACAUGCAAGUCGAACGGCAGCAUGGUCUAGCUUGCUAGACUGAUGGCGAGUGGCGGACGGGUGAGUAACGCGUAGGAAUAUGCCUUGAAGAGUGGGACAACUUGGGGAAACUCAAGCUAAUACCGCAUGUACUCGAGAGAGUAAAGCUGGGGACCUUUAGGCCUGGCGCUUUAAGAUUAGCCUGCGUCCGAUUAGCUAGUUGGUAGGGUAAAGGCCUACCAAGGCGACGAUCUGUAGCGGGUCUGAGAGGAUGAGCCGCCACACUGGGACUGAGACACGGCCCAGACUCCUACGGGAGGCAGCAGUGGGGAAUAUUGGACAAUGGGGGGAACCCUGAUCCAGCCAUGCCGCGUGUGUGAAGAAGGCCUUAUGGUUGUAAAGCACUUUAAGCGAGGAGGAGGCUCUUUUGGUUAAUACCCAAGAUGAGUGGACGUUACUCGCAGAAUAAGCACCGGCUAACUCUGUGCCAGCCGCCGCAGUAA
rnacentral:rRNA from 1 species